AGUGAACGCUGGCGGUAGGCCUAACACAUGCAAGUCGAACGGCAGCACAGUAAGAGCUUGCGCUUACGGGUGGCGAGUGGCGGACGGGUGAGGAAUACAUCGGAAUCUACUUUUUCGUGGGGGAUAACGUAGGGAAACUUACGCUAAUACCGCAUACGACCUACGGGUGAAAGCAGGGGAUCUUCGGACCUUGCGCGGGGGAUUGAGCCGAUGUCGGAUUGGCUAGUUGGCGGGGUAAAGGCCCACCAAGGCGACGAUCCGUUGCUGGUCUGAGAGGAUGAUCAGCCACACUGGAACUGAGACACGGUCCAGACUCCUACGGGAGGCAGCAGUGGGGAAUAUUGGACAAUGGGCGCAAGCCUGAUCCAGUCAUACCGCGUGGGUGCAGAAGGCCUUCGGGUUGUAAAGCCCUGUUGUUGGGACAGAAAAGCAGCAGGUUAAUCCCCCGCUGUGCUGACGGUACCCAAAGAAUAAGCACCGGCUAACUUCGUG
rnacentral:rRNA from 1 species